rnacentral:rRNA from 1 species
AUUGAACGCUGGCGGCAUGCCUUACACAUGCAAGUCGAACGGUAACGCGGGGCAACCUGGCGACGAGUGGCGAACGGGUGAGUAAUGCAUCGGAACGUGCCUGGUAGUGGGGGAUAACUGCUCGAAAGAGCAGCUAAUACCGCAUACGACAUGAGGGUGAAAGGGGGGGAUCGCAAGACCUCUCGCUAUCAGAGCGGCCGAUGUCGGAUUAGCUAGUUGGUGGGGUAAAGGCCCACCAAGGCGACGAUCCGUAGCUGGUCUGAGAGGACGACCAGCCACACUGGGACUGAGACACGGCCCAGACUCCUACGGGAGGCAGCAGUGGGGAAUUUUGGACAAUGGACGCAAGUCUGAUCCAGCCGUGCCGCGUGCGGGAAGAAGGCCUUCGGGUUGUAAACCGCUUUUGUCAGGGAAGAAAUCUUCUGGGUUAAUACCUCGGGAGGAUGACGGUACCUGAAGAAUAAGCACCGGCUAACUACGUGCCAGCCGCCGCCGUAA